rnacentral:rRNA from 1 species
AAGGGCAUCUGGUGGAUGCCUUGGCGCUGAGAGGCGAUGAAGGACGUGGCACGCUGCGAAAAGUCAUGGGGAGCUGCGAGCAAGCUUUGAUCCGUGAAUAUCCGAAUGGGGAAACCCACCUAGCAAUAGGUAUCCCAAACUGAAUACAU